AAAACACGGGCACGAUGUCACUGCUUUCGUCUCCAGUGAUGUAAUGGAGGAGCAGAAGCGUCGCGUUCCCCUACAUCCGAUCAGACAAAACCAAUCGAAACCCGAAUGAUUAAACCCUCAUAACUUAAAAUCUAAAAGGUUGAACUUUUCAAGAAUUAUAACCAAACAUAGCCGGAAAAGUAACAUUAAAGAAAAAUAGAUUGUUUUUAAACUUCAUUAAACUUAGGCUACCUUUUACUGUAUCUGUCUGUAGCACUGAACUUGAAAGACCAAAAUAAUCGAUCGCAGAUCACUAGAUCUUGUUUUCCCUUUUGGUUGUCUAAAACAGUUUUAUAACCACUACAUUCACACAACUUUUGAUGGGAAUCUUUUCUGUUCCCGUGGAUAAACUCCACCCACACUGAGUGACACUCAGCAGAAGUGGAGGAAAACAUAAAUAUUCUCUGCAUGACUCAUUUCUCUUGAUUUUAAUCAGCGGGACAAUUUGACUAAGAACAGUAUGUGUGUCUCAAAUUGUGGAAAACUCCCUGCUGGAGCCAGCGUCGUGACGUCAGAGACAUUAUUGGGGAUGUACCACGCGCCUGCGCGUAUGCAUGACUCUUGACUUUCAGUGUGCUUCGCUAGUAGACACAUGCAGUUCUGUUCCAGCACCUCACUAAAAUGUUGAAUUCUUUGUGUGUACGUGUGCGUUGAUGACAAUAGACCACACACACACACACAGACACAUAUGUUUAUCAAUAAAACCCAUAACAUCACCUAAA